GGAGGGUGCAAGCGUUACCCGGAAUUAUUGGGCGUAAAGCGUCCGCAGGGCGGGUUUUUUAAGUCGAAUAUUAAAUCUCGGAGCCCAACUUCGAGGCCGUGUUCGAAACUGAAAAACUAGAGUUUUCCAGAGGCAAGCGGAAUUCUGUGUGUAGGGGUAAAAUCCGUAGAUACACAGAGGAACACCAAAAGCGAAGGCAGCUUGCUGGGGAAAUACUGACGCUCAUGGACGAAAGCGUGGGUAGCGAACGGGAUUAGAUACCCCGGUAGUCCACGCCGUAAACGAUGGAUACUAGUUGUUGGAGGACUCGAACCCUUCAGUGACGACGCUAACGCAUUAAGUAUCCCGCCUGGGGAGUACGGUCGCAAGAUUA
rnacentral:rRNA from 1 species